GAUGAACGCUGGCGGUGUGCCUAAUACAUGCAAGUCGAACGCGUUGGCCCAAUUGAUUGAUGGUGCUUGCACCUGAUUGAUUUUGGUCGCCAACGAGUGGCGGACGGGUGAGUAACACGUAGGUAACCUGCCCAGAAGCGGGGGACAACAUUUGGAAACAGAUGCUAAUACCGCAUAACAGCGUUGUUCGCAUGAACAACGCUUAAAAGAUGGCUUCUCGCUAUCACCUCUGGAUGGACCUGCGGUGCAUUAGCUUGUUGGUGGGGUAAUGGCCUACCAAGGCGAUGAUGCAUAGCCGAGUUGAGAGACUGAUCGGCCACAAUGGGACUGAGACACGGCCCAUACUCCUACGGGAGGCAGCAGUAGGGAAUCUUCCACAAUGGGCGCAAGCCUGAUGGAGCAACACCGCGUGAGUGAAGAAGGGUUUCGGCUCGUAAAGCUCUGUUGUUAAAGAAGAACACGUAUGAGAGUAACUGUUCAUACGU
rnacentral:rRNA from 1 species